CAAUAGCGUAUAUUAAAGUUGUUGCGGUUAAAAAGCUCGUAGUUGGAUUUCGGCGGACAGGGGGCGGUUCGAUAUUUGUCGCUACUGCCCCAUUUGUCCGUGUUUUUGGCGGAGGUUUCAGGGUGCUCUUCACCGAGUGUCCUGGGAUGCCGUCUGGUUUACUUUGAAAAAAUUAGAGUGCUCAAAGCAGGCUUUACACGCUUGAAUAUUCGUGCAUGGAAUAAUGGAAUAGGACGUCGUUUCUAUUUUGUUGGUUUUCGGAAAUCGACGUAAUGAUUAACAGGGACAGUCGGGGGCAUUAGUAUUCAGACGACAGAGGUGAAAUUCUUGGACCGUCUGAAGACUAACUACUGCGAAAGCAUUUGCCAAGAAUGUUUUCAUUAA
rnacentral:rRNA from 1 species